AUACGGAGGACGCGAGCGUUAUCCGGAUUCAUUGGGUUUAAAGGGUGCGCAGGCGGCCGUGCAAGUCAGCGGUGAAAGCCCGGGGCUCAACCCCGGAAGUACCGUUGAUACUGCAUGGCUGGAAUGCGGUCGAGGCGGGCGGGACGUGGCGGGUAGGGGGGAAAUGCGUAAAUAUGCCACAGAACGCCGAUAGCGGAGGCAGCGCGCCAGGCCUGCAUUGACGCUCGGGCACGAAAGCGUGGGGAUCGAACAGGAUUAGAUACCCUGGUAGUCCACGCCGUAAACGAUGGGCGCUCGUCGUCGGCGGCAGACAGUCGGCGGCCAAGCGAAAGCGAUAAGCGCCCCACCUGGGGAGUACGGUCGCAAGGCUGAAACUCAAAGGAAUUGGCGGGG
rnacentral:rRNA from 1 species